AAAUAGAUCAAUACAAAGAUGGUGUAGGGAUCAGCUGCAGGAUAGCAUAGCUAAUAAAGGAAUGGCAUGGCCAAAUUAUAGACAGUCUAGUUUUCCUUCGUGAAACAGAACACCCUAAACAUGAAUAGUUUAGCCAAAUGAGAAACGGUCUAGUAGCCCAUGUUGAGUUGGAGAAUGAGAUUGUGAAAUGCACUAGCUCAAUUACAAAUAGCUUAGCACUCAUUUGCAAUACAGUACUCAAACGGUGUAGCGUUGCGUUAAACGGCUCAGGGUAACGUCGAGUAGCACAGCGUACGCACAAACGGUGUAGCGUUGCGUCAAAUGGCUCAGCGUAAUUUAGAAUGGUACAGUGUACACACAUAUGGUGUAGCGGUGCGGAAAAUGGCUCAGCGUAAUGUCGAAUGGUACAGCGUACAUAAAAACAGUGUAGCGUUGUGUGAAAUGGCUCAGCGUAAUGUCGAAUGGUACAGCGUACGUACAAACAGUGUAACGUUGCGUGAAAUGGCUCAGCGUAAUGUCGAAUGGUACAGCGUACAUACAAACAGUGUAGCGUUGCGUGAAGUGGCUUAGCAUAAUGUCGAAUGGCACAGCGUACACACAAAUGGUGUAGCGUUGCGUGAAAUGGCUCAGCGUAAUGUAGAAUGGUACAGCGUAGACACAAAUAGUGUAGCGUUAGGUCGAAUAGCUUUGCAAAACAUCAGACGCUCUAUCUGAACAUUAAAUUGCUUAGUAUUACUUGAAAUAUUUCGAUGUUGUGGCGAAUCGUCGUGGCGGGACGUGAAGGCCAUGACAUUCCUUUAUUAGCUAUGCUAUCCUGCAGCUGAUCCUUAAGCCACCUUUGUAUUUGCUGAUCUAUACGACAUCCUUGUAUUUUUGGUGGUGACGGCCGCCAAGGCAUCUCGCCGAAACCACCAAAAAUACAAACCGCAAAUGGAACAGCGAUCUGCUAUUGGCAUGACGUCAUCGAAUGUGAAGACUAGCGCGAAACCAUUACAUAGUAUAAUCGCUGUCUGGAAGAGUCUUCACUUCGCCUUGCCGUAAAGCAGAGCCAAUUCGGAGUACGUGAGAAGUUGGAUUUUGUGUGUGCCCUGGACGCCAUGGUCACGAAACACUAGUCAAUAUAUCUAGUGUGUACUGAACUCAGUCUGUAGAAAUAAUAGUAAUAAAAAUAAUAAUAAUAAUAAUAAUAAUAAUCACAAAAAUUAAUAGUUGAGGUACAGAAAUGUAAAAAUGAAUAAAAAUAUAAAUAAAUACGUCUACCGAAACAAACGACAAAACAGCAAGAUGUCCUGUCAAUUGUCUGAAUUAUGCAAUAGUUUUUAUUCAGCAAGUUGCGAC